GAUGAACGCUGGCGGCGUGCCUAACACAUGCAAGUCGAACGGAGCACUCUUACUUCGGUUUUUGUGCUUAGUGGCGGACGGGUGAGUAACGCGUGAGCAAUCUGCCUUUCAGAGGGGGAUAACGAUUGGAACGAUCGCUAAUACCGCAUAACGUAUUUUAGGGCAUCCUUUAAAUACCAAAGGAGCAAUCCGCUGAAAGAUGAGCUCGCGUCUGAUUAGAUAGUUGGUGAGGUAACGGCCCACCAAGUCGACGAUCAGUAGCCGGACUGAGAGGUUGAACGGCCACAUUGGGACUGAGACACGGCCCAGACUCCUACGGGAGGCAGCAGUGGGGAAUAUUGCGCAAUGGGGGCAACCCUGACGCAGCAACGCCGCGUGAUUGAAGAAGGUCUUCGGAUUGUAAAAUCUUUAUCAGGGACGAAGAAGUGACGGUACCUGAUGAAUAAGCUCCGGCUAACUACGUGCCAGCCGCCGCGGU
rnacentral:rRNA from 1 species